rnacentral:rRNA from 1 species
ACGAACGCUGGCGGCGUGGAUUAGGCAUGCAAGUCGCGCGACGGACAGCCUUCGGGCUGUUACGGAGCGGCGAACGGGUGAGUAACACGUGAACAAUCUGUCCUCACGUUCCGGAUAAUUGGCCGAAAGGCCUUGUAAUACGGGCGAGGGUGUUUGAGGAGCAUUCUUCGAACAAGGAAGGGGCAACCCGCGCGAGGAGGGGUUCGCGGUCUAUCAGGUAGUUGGUGAGGUCAUGGCUCACCAAGCCGACGACGGAUAGCUGGUCUGAGAGGAUGGUCAGCCACAUUGGAACUGAGAUACUGUCCAGACUCCUACGGGAGGCUGCAGUCGAGAAUCUUGGGCAAUGCACGAAAGUGUGACCCAGCGACGCCGCGUGGAGGAAGAAGGCCCUUGGGUCGUAAACUCCUUUUAGAGGGGAAGAACGGGCGCAAGCCCUUGACGGUACCCUCUGAAUAAGCCACGGCUAACUACGUGCCAGCAGCCGCGGUAAUACGUAGGUGGCAAGCGUUGUCCGGAUUUACUGGGCGUAAAGCGUAUGCAGGCGGGUUCUUAAGUAGGAAGUGAAAGGUUGGAGCUCAACUCUAACACUGCUCCCUAUACUGGGAAUCUUGAGUGCCGGAGAGGAAGACGGAACGACACGUGUAGCGGUGAAAUGCGUUGAGAUGUGUCGGAACACCAAUGGCGAAAGCAGUCUUCUGGACGGAUACUGACGCUGAGAUACGAAAGCCAAGGUAGCAAACAGGAUUAGAUACCCUGGUAGUCUUGGCCAUAAACGAUGUUCACUAGGUGUCGGGGGUUUCCUUCGGUGCCGCAGCUAACGCAUUAAGUGAACUGCCUGGGGGACUACGGCCGCAAGGUUGAAACUCAAAGGAAUUGGCGGGGGCCCGCACAAGCGGUGGAGCAUGUGGCUUAAUUCGACUGCAACGCGAAGAACCUUACCCAGGGCUUGACAUGCGACUGACAAGCCGCCGAAACGUAGGCUCGCCUCGAGGGCCUCGGUGAAGGUGGCUGCAUGGCUGUCGUCAGCUCGUGUCGUGAGAAUGUUGGGUUAAGUCCCGCAACGAGCGCAACCCUCAUGUCUGCUGUUACCAGCGAGGUUAAUGUCGGGGCACUCGGCAAGAACUGCCUGUGAUAAAGCCGGAGGAAGGUGGGGAUGACGUCAAGUCAUCAUGGCCCUUAUGUCCUGGGCUGCACACACUGCUACAAUGGCCGGAUACAAAGAGCUGCCGAGAGCCGCGAGGUGGAGCUAAAUCUCAGAAAGCGGUCUCAGUUCGGAUGGCAGUCUGCAACUCGCCUGCAUUGAAGUUGGAAUCGCUAGUAAUCCGCCGGAUCAGCAAUACGCGCGGUGAAUACGUUCCCGGGCCUUGUCACACACCGCCCGUCACAGCACGAAAGCUGGUUGUACCGAAGUCGCCAGCGCCAACCCGCAAGGAGGCAGGCGCCGAAGGUAGGGUCCGAUGAUUGGGGAU